UUCUGUAAUUUCCUUGUAAUCUUGACCUGCCCCCACCCUCCACACCUUUCCUCUCCUGAUGAGGUCACAGAGAGGUGGAUUUAAAUAAUCUGGGGAGGACGUUAUGCAGACAGACCUUGUUUAAGAGGGAGAACAUGUUGAAAGUCUUAUGUGAUCGGAUUUAAACUUUGAGAGUAAUUGAGCAAUUUGUCAGUGGCCUGUUUGGACUAGAUCAGAUGUAAAAUAGAGCUGUUAGCCCAUAGAAGAUGUUGAACUGUUAAGUCACAGGUUUGUGAUAAACUUGUCCAUUGGUAAAAUGCUUGCCUGUUUUUCUCUGGGUUUCCUAGGAACCCAAAUACAAUAGAGACGCUCUAAUCUUUUGGGAAGGCUGUUGACUGGGCAAAGUCUGGAAAAUUCACACAGCAAGACAUCAACGAAGGCAAACUUUGUCUUCUCAACCGUAGAUGCUCCUGUCGCUCCUUCAGACAAAGGAAUGGACCACUUCUUGUGCGGCCUCUCAGAUGAGAUGAAGCAGGCCCACAGGGAGCAGCUCUUCCCCGUCAGCCAUGACAAGCUCCUGGCCGUGAGCGAUAGGUACCUCAGCACUGGGAAGAGCACACAUGGCCUGGCCAUACUUGGACCCGAGAACCCCAAAAUUGCCAAGGGCCCAUCCUGGAUCAUCAGAUGAGUGGCCCUGGCACCCC